rnacentral:RNase_P_RNA from 1 species
GCGUUCGGGUAAUCGCUGCAGCUUGCUGCAGAGGAAAGUCCAUGCUCGCACGGGCUGAGAUGCCCGUAGUGUUCGUGCCUAGCCAAUCCAUAAGCUAGGGCAGCCGGAUCUUCCGGUUGACGGCAGGGAAAAUGCCUAAGUCCUUUCCGGAUAUGGCAUGAAUACCUUGAAAGUGCCACAGUGACGUAGCCUUCCCAGAAAUGGGAAGGGUGGAACGAGGUAAACCCCGCGAGUGAGAAACCCAAAUAAUGGUAGGGGCACCUUCCUGGAGGAACUGAACAAAGGGAAGGACAGGUCAUCCGGCCUGUAGAUAGAUGAUUACCGCCGGAGUGCGAGACGAGCAGUCGAUUGCAGUACGAUGGUACAGAACAUGGCUUACAGAA